UGCCUAACACAUGCAAGUCGAGCGGGGAGAACGUAGGGGGUAACCCUGAAAUUCUUCUAGCGGCGGACGGGUGAGUAACGCGUGAGCAAUCUUUCCUAAACAGGGGGAUAACGCAUCGAAAGGUGCACUAAUACCGCAUAAGACCACAGAGCCACAUGGUUUAGGGGUCAAAGGAGAAAUCCGGCUUAGGGUGAGCUCGCGUCUGAUUAGCUAGUUGGUGGGGUAACGGCCUACCAAGGCGACGAUCAGUAGCCGACCUGAGAGGGUGAUCGGCCACACUGGGACUGAGACACGGCCCAGACUCCUACGGGAGGCAGCAGUGGGGAAUAUUGGGCACUGGGGGAAACCCUGACCCAGCAACGCCGCGUGAGGGAUGUAGGUCUUCGGAUCGUAAACCUC
rnacentral:rRNA from 1 species